rnacentral:tRNA from 1 species
UCCCUGAUGGCUGAGUUGGUAAAGAAUCUGCCUGCAAUACAGGAGACCCGGGAUUGAUCCCUGGGUUGGGAA